CCUCCACUGUCUCACGCAGCCUGAGGACUGCGCUGCUAUUGCAGAUGGAGGAGCUGUGUCAAUGACACGGAAGCUGCCUCCUGUAGAGAGAGAUGGCACUGGCUGCAGCUAGGGGGAGCUCCAGAGCACAGCUCCUCCCGGGCCCUUAGUAAGCCAGCCGAGGGAAGCUCAGAACUCUCUGCUCCUCCAUGCUCUGGAUGAUAGCCAAAGACAGCUGAAUCCCGCCCUGCCCGUUUUUGUGCGCCCUGCCGCCCCGCCGUUUGCUGCCUGCCGGACCCCGCCACGUCGCCGGAUCCAGCCGUGCGCCGCCGGACCCGGUGUCUUUACCGGAACUGCUGCAUACAUGACCGCUAGCGCCGGGAGCAGGCAAGUCACAACCAGCAACCGUCAGCCGACAUUCUAUCAGCACUGUCUGCAUGAUUUAGUUUGACAUGGUGAAUGUCGCCCUUAUAUAUCAUGGCCC